CCCCACAGCAUAUGGAGUCCCCGGGACUGGGAUCAGAUCUGAGCCAAAAUUGUGACCUACGUUGCAGCUGCAGCAACACCAGAUCCUUUAACCCACUGUGCUGGGCCAAGGGUCAAACAUGCAUCUUGGUGCUACAGAGACACUGUCGAUCCCAUUGCACCACAGCAGGAACCCCUAAUUUUUUUUUAUUAUGGUAAAUAUACAUAACAAAUCUACUCUCUUAAACAUUUCUCAUUGUUUUCUAUUUUUAUUAAUUGUUUUAUUUAGGGUAUCCAUUAUAAUAUUUAGGUCUUUUUUCUAGCAUCCGAUCCAAAGCAAGAAUUAACACUGUUCUCUUACCUUGUACAAUCCAUCCCAGUCCAUCCUAAAAGUGUGUCUUUGGGUUGGUUGGGGUGAAAGAGUCAAAAGAAUUCAGUUUUUCCAGACUCCUUAUUAAGUCUUCCUAUUAUUGCAGCAUUGGUGGUAUGAGAAUUGGCUAUAAAAUUUAAAACUCCAUCUUUGUCCCUGCUAAAUGUCAUAUUUUACAUCUAUUAACAUUAAUAGUCUUAUCAGAAGCCAAUUAUCAUAUUAUUGCAAAAGGCACAUCUUUUGAAGGCAAAAAGGAUGAGGAAGGCAAAAAUACCACAAAAUGUGGUACUGAAUACCAAACAUGUAUUUAUGUCAACUAACAGAGUUUUGGUAAUAUUCUUGGUAUUACAGGGAGAGGGGUAUUACCAAAUUAAAAAAUUCAAGACUGUUGGUAUUACUUAUCUGCAGAGCAGUUUAGGUUACAAGGUAUGACAUAUUCUACUCUUCUGAAUGGUGUUCAAACAAGUGGUCACAGAAAGUCUACUAGUUUUGUUUGAAUUCAUGCUUCGUUCAAUUAUAUAUCAAAUCAUUCCAUUUGCUAGAUUACAAUGAAUGUGAUAGGUUAUUAUUUGAUCCCAAAUAAUCCCCUUUGCAAAAAUUAAAUUAGAAUUAAGUAACUUUAUUACACUGUUUCAAUUAUUUUUUCUAUGAAGUUUUUAAACUGACAAUGCUUCUAACUCCUUUAGCAAAUACUGUUAAAAAUUUUGCUUAUUUUUCUGUCCUUCCCCAUUUCUCCUCCUAGUUUAAUCACAACUGUCAACAAGGAUGAACCUAAAAUUUUUGUUUUCCAUCAAGCUAUCAAAUGCUUUUUUGAUUUGAACAAAACCAGAGCUGUAAGCAUGUUUUAAAAAAUCUAUUAGCUAAAAGGUAGUGAAAACUGUCACAUUACUCUGAGCAAUACUGUAAUAACCACAGAUACUACAGCACAGAAUCCAAAACAGCAAAAUUUCAUAUUGGGAAGCCAUAGUAGUUAACACUAGUAUUCAUGUCAUCUUUCUGAGGUCUUGUAUUAUACGAUAUUAGAGUUUGGCAGCUAAGAGCUGGGAAGAUUUCUGGUUACUUUUCUUUAGAAAGUCCCUCUUCUGAGGCUAUGAGGAAUUAAUCUUGGCUCUCAUUAACCACUCCUCCAGUCAAUAGCCAGACCUUGAUUUUUCCAUAUCUUCAACAAAGCCUCUCGAAAAUCAUUUUAAAUAAUUACUAUAUGGAGACAGUGAGGAAUAAAAAUUGAGAAAAUUAUUACUCUGAGAAAUGUAAUUAACAAGUUAGUACUUGUUAAUAGAAGUCACUUUCUAUUCCAGAUGCUAGAUAUACACUUUUCAUGACUUAUUCCAUGUAAUCAUCAUAAGCACCACCCCCACCCCCACACCUGGUCAAGAUUGCUAUCCCCAUUUCACAGAUGAGAAAACAAACUUUCAGGGGCUAAGGAACUCACCUAAGGACUCAAGGCUAGGAAGGAGCAGAGCCAUUAGCAGAACUCCCUAGUUUGCCAGGCAGCCCAUGUUCUCCCCACUAGGCACCACUGCUGGGGUGAACCACAAAACAAGAUAAAACACCCAAGAAUAAAAUGACUUAGGUUGUUAAGUCAAUAAACUAAGGCAAACAACACAGCAUGAAUUUUAUUCUCCAGUAUAUUUCUGGUGGAGAACAAAUUGCCCUGGGAGAGGUAUUGUAUAAUUUCAUUUGGAACGUCAUCCUUCUGCAGCAGCAAACGGAAACACGCACGCUAAAAUCAGAUUGCAAUUAAAAUCCAAUUAUAAAUAUAUUACAAUAUUAGACACCUACCCAGGAAAGAUCCAGCAGGGACCUUCUCUGAAAUGCAGGGUAUCACAGUCUUCAAACUGCUUCCAAGUGUACUUCUGACUGUGCCCUCUGACCUUGAGAGUGUGGUAAACAAUGCCUAGCAGCCUUUCUCCAACAGCAAAAGGACUUGUUUUAUUUCUCCUGACAGGGUAACUUUAAUAACACCAUUACCAAUUUACUUUAGAGGAUGACAUGUGAGGAAUAUUAAGUCUUACUCAUCCCGAUUAUUAAACAAAUUAAACACAGCACUUCAACUGGCGGGAAUCAAGAGAUGGAAUUUGUAUGACAUCAGGAAAAUCAGGGUCACAAAAAAAGGUCCCCAUGUGACUUCACACCCUUGUGCUUAAACUUGGUAUUUCAUUGCCUUAAAAUGUUUAGCCAAUACUUAUCCCAAGAAAGAGGCAGUCAUUUCCCUGCUGUCCAAGAUUUUCUUCACUCACCACAUGAUUUACAAACCAAAUUAAUGGCAAUGACAAAUAUGCAGCCUAUCUGGAGAUCCAGGGAUUUCCUUUAAGUUGCCUUCUGGAAGAUUUGCACUGCUGGCAAAUCUUAAGUUGAUUUUCUUUAAUUUGACGGAACAUUUCAGCUACAGAACUCAGGCUUCCAGUAUUUUUCAACAGUUGUCUUUAAGUUCAUUUGUCAUUGUUAACACGGGCCAUCCAGACAAACCACACAGUGCAACUCCAUUUGACCACCAGCUUUCCAGCAAGGACACAGUACUCAGGCUGGCUCUCAGUAUGUUUAAUUUCUGAAAAUGUGUAAGAGCCAGAAAGCUGGACCCCCAUAGUUCCUCUUUAAGUGGCCUGGCACAAACUACGAGUCCACGCCACAAUGCACCAACUUCUUACAGCUAUAGGACAGGUGCUAAUUAAUCUACUUAAUUAUGCAGUCAGUGGAAGAGGCUUACUAUAGAAUUCUAAAUCUGGAGAAAAAAAUAGGAAGGGAAAAGAGAGGGACAAUGCUUUUGGUUUCACACUGAAACAAUUUCAGGAGUCAGCUUACUUGUCAUUUCUACUUAAGGUGGACUGAUUCUUGUAUUUCCCCUUUAUCACGGUUGCUCUGUUUUUUUUUUCCCCCUCCUCCAGGGGUUCACUUUAAAAGGCGCUAAGGAAAAAAAAAAAAAAGAUCUGACCUGAGAAUGACGAGCUAGGCUUUAUUUUUUAAACUGCAAAUAAAGCAAGAAAAAAAACCAAAUAGUACACACACUUCAGAUCAGUCCCUUGAAAUGUCCAAGACCCCAAAUGAUGCUAUAAUUCCAGAAGGCUCCUGUCUGCAGUUAACCACUUGCAGGGCUCGUCACUGGAAUUCCCCAGGCACCCAUACAAAUGAAUUUAAUUACAUAUACCAUGAGCACAAGCCUCUGAGGCUGUAGAUCACAUUAGAUAACCCAGGGAUGCUGGUAGAGAGAAAACCAAGGGUGUGCAAUCGAUUUUCUCACACAUGCUCCUUUGCUCCUUCCGGUUUUAUGGAAGGGUUGUAAUGGUCUUUCUCUGGUUUCCCACUGCCAGGAACAGAUAUGAAUGCUGUGCGUGUGUCAGGGAAGAAGAGAAAAGAAUGCCUUCUGAAUUUCCUCUAGGGAAGUAAAAGCAGAUCACAGGGGAUGUAUGUUGUCUCCGGGGAACAAUCCAGCAUUGGCAAAGCAGCCUGAGAGGAUGGACAUCCAGCGACAAGUGAAGUCAAAGAACAGGAGCAGCCUGUGGCUGGGGAAUGAGACUCACCCACCUAGUCCCACACGCUCACUCACACACCACCCAUGAAGGAGCCCCGGCCACCAUGGGCAUGUGCCAAUCUCCUGGUCCCUUCCUAGAAUGCUGCCGCCGGCCCUUUAGACAGUAAUAAUUCAGCAACAUGAAUUAAGAUGGUUGAAAAUAAUUUUUUAAAUGAAUAAUUUAAGAGUUCACAUGUCUCGUGAACACUACAUGAAUUUCCAGCUGGGCAGAAAAUCAAAGUCUGCAUCUGGCCAUUUUCUAAGUCAUUAUGGAAGCACAUCUACUCUUUAUGUGAUCUCCUUUAUCUGGGAUAGCUUCUUCACUUCUGGAUAUUUUUUUUCUUCAUUAUGUUAUGGAAGGUAUUUGAAGAGCCGUAAGGAAAAAAAAAAAAAGGAGUUCCCACUGUGGCUCAACAAGAUUGGAAGCAUCUCCACAGUGUCAGCAAGCAGGUUCGAUCCUCAGCCCAGCACAGUGGGUUAAGGAUCUGGCGGUGCCACAGCCACAGCGUAGGUCACAACUAACUAGGGAGCAAUGAUGGUUGAACAAUGCUGUGAACGCAGUUAAUGCCCUUUCAACUAUUUUUAAACAGCAAAAACGGUCUAUGCUAUGUGUGUUUUACCACAGUUUUUAAAAUGUGACAAAGUUUUAAGUGCUAAAAUUCAAGGUCUGGGUUCUAAUAAGUGGCAGAUAAAUCAAAGGACCAGAAACUCUAGGCAUCUGGUCACCCUGCCAGGGCUUCAUGAAGGACGAGAGAAGGAAGUGCCUCUUCUCCCUGCCUUUCCGCUUCCACUUUCUCAUCCUGAGAUCUCUCUCCAACUAAAGGGGCACAAGACUGAAAAGAGAGCAGGAAAGACACUGAUCACCACCCCUCGCUUACUCCCUUCUUCGUCGAGAAGUUCAAAGAGACUCCAACCAAGCGGGCAACCAAUUCACAGUCAGCGGACACAGACUCAAAUGUAUUCAGUUUCUUCAGAGCAUCUGCAAACAAUAGGAAAUUGAAGAUGACUGCUCAUCAAAUCCAAAAUGCUCUGGACACUUACACCUGGACCCUGUCUCAGCUUCCUUACCAAGAAGGAGAACACCAAGAAGGCAGGAAAGGAAGCAGCAGGAACAUGGAGAGAAAGGGAGAUGACAGUAUCCGCAGAAACCUUUUCUUAAACCCUGAGUGCCUAAUUGCUAUUUUUCCAAUGCUCUGAAGUAGGGGCAUAAUUGUAUUAGUUGCAGUAGUGUUAGCAUAAUUCUGUACUGGUUUUUUUCAUCCAUCCAAUGGAGGUGACUCAGAUUUGUAUGGGAGGGCAUGCUAUCAUGUACAUAACUUAUUACUGGUCAUGGGAAUUGGCUCCAGAUAUUCUGACAGCUGGAAGAGGCUUCAAAAUCUUCUCUAACCCCUGCAUCUCACAGGAGGAAAAAAGAGGCCCCAAGAGGUGAAGUAAGGCUCCUGAAGACCUGAAAAGACAACACUUUACGGUGGGCUUGGAAGAUUUUUUUUUUUUUUUUUUUUUUUUGAUUCUAAGAAUCAAGGAAUUACAUGAAAGGUGUGUCACGAGCAGCCUGAGAUGUUUUGGCAGGAGGGUGGCAGUUAAACAUAGAAUUUAUAGUUUUAAAAAGACUUGGCCGUCUCUUGCCACUUAAUAGCUAAAGUAGUCGGGGUAGGUGAUUUCUUCAUCUCUAAGACAGAUAAGUUUAUCUCAUGAAGAGGAUUAAAUACGGAGUAUUUAGGUUAAGGGUUUAGCACAGGACUUGAAAUCUAAAUAUGGAGAACAUGGUAGUUAUCGGCGGCAUUACGACCAGUGA
rnacentral:lncRNA from 1 species